rnacentral:rRNA from 1 species
CGGAGGGUGCAAGCGUUAUCCGGAUUCACUGGGUUUAAAGGGAGCGCAGGCGGACUGGUAAGUCAGUGGUGAAAUACCUGAGCUUAACUCGGGAACUGCCAUUGAUACUAUCAGUCUUGAAUGUUGUUGAGGUUUGCGGAAUGGGUCAUGUAGCGGUGAAAUGCAUAGAUAUGACCCGGAACACCUAUUGCGAAGGCAGCAGGCUAAACAAAUAUUGACGCUGAGGCUCGAAAGCGUGGGGAUCAAACAGGAUUAGAUACCCUGGUAGUCCACGCCCUAAACGAUGAUUACUCGACAUACGCGAUACACUGUGUGUGCCUGAGCGAAAGCAUUAAGUAAUCCACCUGGGAAGUACGACCGCAAGGUUG